GACGAACGCUGGCGGCGUGCCUAAUACAUGCAAGUCGAGCGAAUUUACGAGAGCUUGCUCUCGUAAAUUAGCGGCGGACGGGUGAGUAACACGUGGGCAACCUGCCUAUAAGACUGGGAUAACUUCGGGAAACCGGAGCUAAUACCGGAUAAUUCACAUCUACUCAUGUAGAUGUGCUGAAAGACGGUUUACGCUGUCACUUAUAGAUGGGCCCGCGGCGCAUUAGCUAGUUGGUGAGGUAACGGCUCACCAAGGCAACGAUGCGUAGCCGACCUGAGAGGGUGAUCGGCCACACUGGGACUGAGACACGGCCCAGACUCCUACGGGAGGCAGCAGUAGGGAAUCUUCCGCAAU
rnacentral:rRNA from 1 species